CCUACGGGAGGCUGCAGUGGGGGAUAUUGCACAAUGGGGGAAACCCUGAUGCAGCGACGCCGCGUGAGUGAAGAAGUAUUUCGGUAUGUAAAGCUCUAUCAGCAGGGAAGAAAAAAGACGGUACCUGACUAAGAAGCCCCGGCUAACUACGUGCCAGCAGCCGCGGUAAUACGUAGGGGGCAAGCGUUAUCCGGAUUUACUGGGUGUAAAGGGAGCGUAGACGGCAAUACAAGUCGGAAGUGAAAUCCCUCGGCUCAACUGAGGAACUGCAACCAAAACUAUUCUCCUUGAGUGUCGGAGAGGAAAGUGGAAUUCCUAGUGUAGCGGUGAAAUGCGUAGAUAUUAGGAGGAACACCAGUGGCGAAGGCGACUUUCUGGACGAUAACUGACGUUGAGGCACGAAAGUGUGGGGAGCAAACAGGAUUAGAUACCCUGGUAGUC
rnacentral:rRNA from 1 species